rnacentral:rRNA from 1 species
AUUGAACGCUGGCGGCAGGCCUAACACAUGCAAGUCGAACGAGUGGCGGACGGGUGAGUAAUGUCUGGGACACUGCCUGAUGGAGGGGGAUAACUACUGGAAACGGUAGCUAAUACCGCAUACCAUCGGAUGUGCCCAGAUGGGAUUAGCUAGUAGGUGGGGUAACGGCUCACCUAGGCGACGAUCCCUAGCUGGUCUGAGAGGAUGACCAGCAAAACGGGAACUGAGAAACGGUCCAGAAUCCUACGGGAGGAAGAAGUGGGGAAUAUUGCACAAUGGGCGCAAGCCUGAUGCAGCCAUGCCGCGGGUAUGAAGAAGGCCUUCGGGUUGUAAAGUACUUUCAGCGGGGAGGCGUUACCCGCAGAAGAAGCACCGGCUAACUCCGUGCCAGCAGCCGCGGUAAUUC